GAUGAACGCUGGCGGCGUGCCUAAUACAUGCAAGUCGAGCGAACGGACGAGAAGCUUGCUUCUCUGAUGUUAGCGGCGGACGGGUGAGUAACACGUGGAUAACCUACCUAUACGACUGGGAUAACUUCGGGAAACCGGAUCUAAUACCGGAUGAUAUUUUGAACCGCAUGGUUCAAAAGUGAAAGACGGUCUUGCUGUCACUUAUAGAUGGAUCCGCGCUGCAUUAGCUAGUUGGUAAGGUAACGGCUUACCAAGGCAACGAUGCAUAGCCGACCUGAGAGGGUGAUCGGCCACACUGGAACUGAGACACGGUCCAGACUCCUACGGGAGGCAGCAGUAGGGAAUCUUCCGCAAUGGGCGAAAGCCUGACGGAGCAACGCCGCGUGAGUGAUGAAGGUCUUCGGAUCGUAAAACUCUGUUAUUAGGGAAGAACAUAUGUGUAAGUAACUGUGCACAUCUUGACGGUACCUAAUCAGAAAGCCACGGCUAACUACGUG
rnacentral:rRNA from 1 species